rnacentral:siRNA from 1 species
CGCCACAAGUAUGUAGCUA